rnacentral:rRNA from 1 species
ACCGGGGCUAAUACCGCAUAAGCCUGAGAAGGGAAAGCAGCAAUGCGCUGGGAGAGGAGCCCGCGGCCGAUUAGCUAGUUGGUGAGGUAACGGCCCACCAAGGCAGAGAUCGGUAGCCGGCCUGAGAGGGCACACGGCCACACUGGCACUGAAACACGGGCCAGACUCCUACGGGAGGCAGCAGUGGGGAAUCUUGCACAAUGGGGGAAACCCUGAUGCAGCGACGCCGCGUGAGCGAUGAAGCCCUUCGGGGUGUAAGGCUCUUUCGGCAGGGACGAUAAUGACGGUACCUGAAGAAGAAGCUGCGGCUAACUACGUGCCAGCAGCCGCGGUAAUACGUAGGCAGCGAGCGUUGUUCGGAGUUACUGGGCGUAAAGCGUGCGUAGGCGGUGUCCUAAGUCUGGUGUGAAAUCUCCCGGCUCAACUGGGAGGGUGCGCUAGAAACUGGGGUGCUGGAGUGUGGGAGAGGUAAGCGGAAUUCCUGGUGUAGCGGUGAAAUGCGUAGAUAUCAGGAGGAACACCUGCGGUGUAGACGGCUUACUGGACCAUUACUGACGCUGAGGCACGAAAGCGUGGGGAGCAAACAGGAUUAGAUACCCUGGUAGUCCACGCCCUAAACGAUGCAUACUUUGGUGUGGGCAGUUCAGUCUGUCCGUGCCGUAGCUAACGCGUUAUGUAUGCCGCCUGGGGAGUACGGUCGCAAGGCUGAAACUCANAGGAAUUGACCGGGGGCCCGCACAAGCGGUGGAGCAUGUGGUUUAAUUCGACCAACGCGAAAACCUUAUCUGGGCUCGAACGGCUGU